rnacentral:rRNA from 1 species
AGUGAACGCUGGCGGUAGGCCUAACACAUGCAAGUCGAACGGCAGCACAGAGGAGCUUGCCCCUUGGGUGGCGAGUGGCGGACGGGUGAGGAAUACAUCGGAAUCUACUCUGUCGUGGGGGAUAACGUAGGGAAACUUACGCUAAUACCGCAUACGACCUACGGGUGAAAGCAGGGGACCUUCGGGCCUUGCGCGAUUGAAUGAGCCGAUGUCGGAUUAGCUAGUUGGCGGGGUAAAGGCCCACCAAGGCGACGAUCCGUAGCUGGUCUGAGAGGAUGAUCAGCCACGCUGGAACUGAGACACGGUCCAGACUCCUACGGGAGGUAGCAGUGGGGAAUAUUGGACAAUGGGCGCAAGCCUGAUCCAGCCAUACCGCGUGGGUGAAGAAGGCCUUCGGGUUGUAAAGCCCUUUUGUUGGGAAAGAAAUCCAGCUGGCUAAUACCCGGUUGGGAUGACGGUACCCAAAGAAUAAGCACCGGCUAACUUCGUGCCAGCCGCCGCCGUAA